rnacentral:rRNA from 1 species
AGGGUUUGAUCAUGGCUCAGGACGAACGCUGGCGGCGUGCUUCAUACAUGCAAGUCAAGGAGAACGCAUUCUUCGGAAUGCUAUUAAACUGGCGAACGGGUGAGUAACGCGUGGGCAACCUGCCCUAGAGAUUGGGAUAACUUCGGGAAACUGGAGCUAAUACCGAAUAAUGCAGCGGAUCCUUUGGGAUACAGUUGUUAAAGCGGGCUUCGGCUCGUGCUUUAGGAUGGGCCUGCGUCCGAUUAGCUUGUUGGUAAGGUAAAGGCUUACCAAGGCAAUGAUCGGUAGCUGGUCUGAGAGGAUGAUCAGCCACACUGGGAUUGAGAUACGGCCCAGACCACCACGGUGGGCAGCAGUAAGGAAUUUUGCGCAAUGGGGGAAACCCUGACGCAGCAACGCCGCGUGACCGAUGAAGCUUCUAGGAGCGUAAAGGUCUGUCGUAAGGGAAGAAAAGUUUAGAUGUAAAUAAUGUUUGAACCUGACGGUACCUUACAAGAAAGCACCGGCUAACUUCGUGCCAGCAGCCGCGGUAAUACGAGGGGUGCGAGCGUUGUCCGGAAUCACUGGGCGUAAAGGGUCCGUAGGCGUUUCAACAAGUCAUUUGUUAAAGACACCGGCUUAACCGGUGGAGUGCAUUUGAAACUUUUGAAAUAGAGUAUAGGAGAGGAAAGUGGAAUUCCUGGUGUAGCGGUGACAUGCGUAGAUA